UACGAAGGUGGCAAGCGUUGUUCGGAUUACUGGGCGUACAGGGAGCGUAGGCGGUUGGAUAAGCCCUCCGUGAAAUCUCCAGGCUUAACCUGGAAAGUGCAGAGGGGACUGUUCAGCUAGAGGAUGGGAGAGGAGCGCGGAAUUCCCGGUGUAGCGGUGAAAUGCGUAGAGAUCGGGAGGAAGGCCGGUGGCGAAGGCGGCAUCCUGGACCGGCAUUGACGCUGAGGCGCGAAAGCCAGGGGAGCAAAGCGGG
rnacentral:rRNA from 1 species